rnacentral:rRNA from 1 species
CUAUGUAACUGAACCUCUUGUCUCUUUCGUGGGCCUUCGAUGUAUCUGUCAUGUGUCUGACGGACCUACUGUGGCAUUCAGUUUGCCCCCCUACCGUGGAAGUUCUUGGAUCGACACAAGACGGACUCCUGCCCAGGGAGUUGCCCUGACAAUAGGCUACCCCUUCGAAGGAAGGCAGCGCGCGCGCUAAUUACCCAUUCUCGGCGCAAGGAGGUACUGACAAAAAAUAACCAGACCGGUCUCUUCAGACAGCCUCCAUCGGAAUGAGAACAACAUACAUCCUUUAACAAGGACCUAACGGAGGGCAUGGCUGGUGCCACCACCCGCGUUCAUUCCCCCUCCGUCAGUGUAUAUCUAUGCUGCUGCAGUUAAAAAG